AUUGAACGCUGGCGGCAGGCCUAACACAUGCAAGUCGAGCGGGGUUUUCGGACCUAGCGGCGGACGGGUGAGUAAUGCGUAGGAAGCUGCCCGAUAGAGGGGGAUACCAGUUGGAAACGACCGUUAAUACCGCAUAAUGUCUACGGACCAAAGUGUGGGACCUUCGGGCCACAUGCUAUCGGAUGCGCCUACGUGGAUUA
rnacentral:rRNA from 1 species